ACAAACUUGGUCAUUUAGAGGAAGUAAAAGUCGUAACAAGGUUUCCGUAGGUGAACCUGCGGAAGGAUCAUUACUGAGUUAGGGAAUCCCCCGUGAAAACCACACGGGGGCCCGACCUCCAACCCAAUGUCUACUUUACCUUCUUGUUGCUUCGGCGAGCCCGCCCCCUCUAGGGGGCCGCCGGAGGGUUUUUAACAACCACCUUCUGGUCCGCUGCUCGCCGGUAGCCCCCCAACCAAAACUCUUGUUACAUCACUUGUCUGAAACAACAGUUAAAUAAAAUAACUAAAAACUUUCAACAACGGAUCUCUUGGUUCUGGCAUCGAUGAAGAACGCAGC
rnacentral:misc_RNA from 1 species